GGAGGGUUGCCGGAGUGGACAAACGGAGCGGUUUCGAAAACCGCGGGUCGUAAGGCCUACAGAGGUUCGAAUCCUCUACCCUCCG
rnacentral:tRNA from 1 species